rnacentral:rRNA from 1 species
GACGAACGCUGGCGGCGUGCUUAACACAUGCAAGUCGAAGAUAGUGGCGAACGGGGGAGUAAUACGUGGGUAACCUGCCCUCCUUUUUGGGAUAAGCCUUGGAAACGGGGUCUAAUACCGACUAAAGGGGGAUGGGCUAGCGGCCUAUCAGCUUGUUGGUGGGGUGCUGGCCUACCAAGGCGGUGACGGGUAGCCGGCCUGAGAGGGUGCACGGCGACGUUGGGACGGUGAUACGGCCCAGAGUCCGAAGGGAGGCAGAAGAGGGGGAUAUUGCACAAUGGGCGAAAGCCGGAUGCAGCGACGCCGAGGGGGGGAUGAGGGUUUUCGGGUUGUAAACCUCUUUCGCUAGCUAACUGGUAGGUGGAGAAGAAGCGCCGGCUAACUACGUGCCAGCAGCCGCGGUAAUUC